CCAAACACCAAUAAAUAUACAUGGGCAGAGCUCUCGCUCUGCCACAAUCACCUGAAUCCUUCAUUUACUUUAAAUAGGUAAUCUGUUAUCCUGAUCAUGCGCCUUCAGUGGCUUUUCUUGGUGGCACAGAUCUGGCCUGUGAGACGUGGGAUUAUCACCAGCAUCGCCUAACUGAUGUGGGUAGUGUGAGGAGAAGUCCUCAGCCAAGACCUGUGCUCUCUUCUAAAACUAACAAGCAAUCAGCCGUAAUGGUUCAGGAAGAGGAAGAAGAAAGCAGCGAUGAGACCAACUGUGAGGGCAAGGUGAUUCUGAGUUUGAAUGACUCAGAGAGGUGCAGAGGUUUCCAAAAGGUUGCUGACAAGGACUGAAGGAAAAAAAUGUUGAUGAUGAUGCCAUCAGAAUGUUCGAAGGCACAGGUUACAAGUCACACGUACUGAGGAGAGCAGCUUUGGGGCAGAAGGAGUUCUGGAAGCAAAUUGCCUUCUAUUGCUGGGGAUUAUGCUGGAUAUCCUGGAGCUCUCAGUGGUACAUCAUGUCUAAUUCUAUCAAUAAAUGUCUCUGUGGCAGGGGCAGGGUUAAUGUCUCUGCCAGCAACCACAGGUGUGUCCACUCUCCAGUUGGUGCAGAUUG